UCUUCUGGUAAGAUUUUAAAAGAUGUUUUGCCAAUGCAUUUAUGAGAGAUAUGGGUGUGUCAUCUUGUGUUAGAGGUCAUUUUAUCCAGUUUUGGAUAAAUACUGGCCUCCUGGAAGGUGGAAAGCCAUUUUCCCAUGGAUGAUACUUGAAAGAAGUUUAAUAACUCACCCAAUGCACACAGGCAACACCCCUGUGUAUCAAUAGGUCAGGUGUCCACGAGGCAGAUUUGGACAGAGUCAGUUACCGUAAGGACAGUCUGUAGGAGUUCCCCACUGUCUUCCAAUCAACACAUGUUUACUACACCUUUAUGUGCUGCUGCUGCUUCGGGCUGGAGGAUGAGCUUCCCUGCUCUUUGCUUGAGAGUGAAGGUAAAUCCCAACCUGAAGUUGAAAUGGUUCAGAUUUCAUGAGAAUUCCCGCAGUUGCCUGGGGCCUUGGAGCUGAUUUGCUCUAUUCCCGAGAAGUAAAGAGACUGGAUGAGUGUCUGCUCAGAAGAGGCUCUGCUCCUGGCCUCUGCUUUCGCCGAUGCCAUAGAUCAGAUUUAUUGGACUUGCUGAAUCAAGUUGAUUCAGUUUCAGAAUGCGUUUUCUGGACAUUACCAGUUAAUGGCGCAUGACCAGGAUGUCUUUAUGAUCUCCAGCUUACACAGAACCCAAAAUAAUUAGGCAUCAGUAGACUUUUGACUUAUAGAAAAUAUAUGUCACUAGCACUUUUAUACUUCUAUUACUAAAAUUAAAUUUUAAUUCACUGCGGAACUUGUGGGAACAAUCUUCUUAGAAUGAACAUAUGAUAGGAAGUACUACUUGAACCUAAAGUAAACCUGAUGUACUCUGUACUACCCACCAGCUCUGUCUGGUCCUCUCCAUCCCUCCCAAGAUGUUGGUAGAGUAAUAUGGUUUUGCAGGUUUUAUUUUGGGGCACUGAGGUACUUUUCUGUCUUGCUAUAGCUCCAUAGUAUUUUGAGUUUUUAAAAUACUACAGGUAUCCACAAUUCUUUCCUUUUUUCCUUCCUUCUUUGUUCAUUGAAAUAGCUCUCAAGUGUAGUGGAGAAUAACCUUGAACUUCUGACUUACCCUCUGCUCCCUGGCAUUACAAACAGGCACCACCAGAGCAUCCGUGUAUCCACAACCUGCCUCCAGACACUUGUGUAGUCAAGGAUGGAUUUGAAUUUUCAUCCUCCUGCCGAUAGCUCCAGAGGCCUAGGAUUACAGGUGUGUGCCACCCGGGGCAGAGUGGAGGACGUUAUGCACACAGUGAGCGCACUCUGCUUAUUGAACCACAUCUAUUUACCACAUUUAUUUACCCAAAAAUAGAAACUGCACCUUGGCGAUCUGUGCAUGGCUGUUCAUCCCACCAUUUAAUUCUCAUCCUUCCACUACUAAGGUUUUGUGUCCCAGUAAACACUUACUGCAAUUUUUUGGUUGUCAGAUUUGUCACCAUGAAAUUGUUCAAAAAGGUUGUUCUGGGGCUAGAGAGAUGGCUCAGCGGUUAAGAGCACCCGACUGCUCGUCCAGAGGUCCUGAGUUCAAUUCCCAGCAACCAUAUGGUGGCUCACAACCAUCUGUAAAGAGAUCCAAUGCCCUCUUCUGGUGUGUCUGAACAUAGCUACAGUGUACUCAUAUAUAAUAAAUGAAUAAAUCUUUAAAAAAAA